GAUGAACGCUAGCGGGAGGCCUAACACAUGCAAGCCGAGCGGUAUUGAUUCUUCGGAAUAGAGAGAGCGGCGUACGGGUGCGGAAGACGUGUGCAACCUGGCUUUAUAAGGGGGAUAACCUUUAGAAAGGAAGAUUAAUACCCCAUAAUAUAUUGAUUGGCAUCAAGUGAUAUUGAAAACUCCGGUGGAUAAAGAUGGGCACGCGAAAGUAUAGAUAGUUGGUGAGGUUACGGCUCACCAAGUCGAUGAUCUUAAGUGGGCCUGAGAGGGUGAUCCACCACACUGGUACUGAGACACGGACCAGACUCCUACGGGAGGCAGCAGUGAGGAAUAUUGGACAAUGGGUGAGAGCCUGAUCCAGCCAUCCCGCGUGAAGGACGACGGUUCUAUGGAUUGUAAACUUCUUUUAUAUAGGGAUAAACCUACUUACGUGUAAGUAGCUGAAGGUACUAUAUGAAUAAGCACCGGCUAACUCCGUGCCAGCCGCCGCCGUAA
rnacentral:rRNA from 1 species